rnacentral:rRNA from 1 species
UACGAAGGGGGCUAGCGUUGCUCGGAAUCACUGGGCGUAAAGCGCACGUAGGCGGAUUUCUAAGUCAGGGGUGAAAUCCUGGAGCUCAACUCCAGAACUGCCUUUGAUACUGGGAAUCUCGAGUCCGGAAGAGGUGAGUGGAAUUCCUAGUGUAGAGGUGAAAUUCGUAGAUAUUAGGAAGAACACCAGUGGCGAAGGCGGCUCACUGGUCCGGUACUGACGCUGAGGUGCGAAAGCGUGGGGAGCAAACAGG